GAGAGACGAAGAAGAAGCAGGAGGAGGAGGAGGCAGAGGGAGAGGAGGAGUAUGACGAAGAGGAGUUCGAGGAGGAGACGGAUUACAUCAUGUCAUACUUUGAUAACGGCGAGGAUUUUGGCGGCGACAGCGAUGACAACAUGGACGAGGCUAUUUACUAAAGCACCAGCACACAUGACUUCCAGUCACAUGUUCCUGCGGUCUGACCGAAGUCGAGUCAGACCGACGACGAUGAUGAUGAUGAUGAUGAUGAGACUUUUUCUGAAUGUUUUUAAACUUUUGUACAAAAUGUAAUCAGUUUUAUUUUCUGCUGCUGGACCAAUAAAAACAGCACGUCUCACACACGCUCUGUAAGCAUUUCAGGGAACGUUCCUCCUGGAACCAGCUGAUCGUGACAGGAAGCAGCAGCUGGUCUGAGGAGGACCAUCGUUACACUCGUGCCUGUGGUAAAACAAAAACUAGUAACACACAGCAACAACAACAGCAUCUGGUAACAUCUAGCACCCAGGCCUCACAGUCAGAGGACAUGCACAGCUGUGGAGGAGCGUCAUAUCAAAAUAGACGGAGGGACAUCGUCAUUAGGAAAGGAGAGACUGAGGUCAGAUGAAUGGCUGCUUUCACCAUGAGGCACUCGCUGUGUUUCAGGGGAAGGAUGCUCAAAAUGCCAUAUUUGGAGGCAAUGACGUCACAGCAACGCGACGAAGGCUGUCCGAAUUCAAAGAGCGACAAAUGCGUCCUACUUUUACCCAAAUGUUAAGGAUGGGUCCGAUGUAUCCUUCGUGUCCUACUAUAUCCCAGGAUUCAUUGCGGGUCAUACAGGAGAUUUGUUCCUGAUAACGAUGGUGGUCGAAGAGGAAAACACUUUCAAAUACGCACAACUACAACAAGGGAAAGACCCAG